rnacentral:rRNA from 1 species
UACGGAGGGGGCGAGCGUUAUUCGGAAUUAUUGGGCGUAAAGGGCGCGUAGGCGGCUUGAUAAGUCAAAGGUGAAAUCCCUCGGCUCAACUGAGGAACUGCCUUUGAAACUGUCAGACUUGAGGCCGGGAGGGGGUAGCGGAAUUCCCAGUGUAGCGGUGAAAUGCGUAGAGAUGUGGAGGAACACCGAUGGCGAAGGCAGCCUUCUGGGCCAAUACUGACGCUCAUGCACGAAAGCGUGGGGAGCAAACAGG